GAGUGUAAUUUGUACGCAAGUCAAUAGGUGAAAAACCUUAAGGCGAAAUGAAAGUGAAGGCAUGGUUAACCAGCUGACAUGGGAAACGUCCGAUAUUAUUUGCAAGACGUUACACCAUGGCCCUGUCUUGUCUGCAUGCAGAUGGGCAGCGGUAGAGCGUACAGGUUGCGACCCGAAAGAUGGUGAACUAUGCCUGAGCAGGAUGAAGUCAGAGGAAACUCUGAUGGAAGUCCGUAUCGGUUCUGACGUGCAAAUCGAUCGAUAGACUUGGGUAUAGGGGCGAAAGACUAAUCGAACCAUCUAGUAGCUGGUUCCUUCCGA
rnacentral:rRNA from 1 species